CCUCGGUCCCCAAGGCCCUGCGGGACGCUGGAACCCUGGUCCGGCCCCCUCCGCGCCCGGUGGCGUCCACCGCGCACACUCCCGGCGGAGGGGGUGUCACUAGGAUCUCAUUGUUGGAAGAAGCUGUGUCCGUUGGAAGGCGCAGCAUUGCUUGCUGUUUGGUCCUUCACUAUCGGGGACCUCCUCCAUGCACCUCCUGCAGCUCCCAAGCCAGACUGAACGGCUACCAGAAGCUGGGGGAGGCAGGGACUUGGCAAACCUCAAACACUUCUCCUCUCCAACUGGUUCAGAACCUUCUCCACACUUGCAGCACACACGGCUAUUACAAGGUCUGCAGGCUCCCUGUCAUCCUGCGCUGCCUUCCUCUCUCUGCCGGGCGUGGCGCAUGGCCUUCCGGGGAGGACGCCCUUGAAGGAGGCCAGCAAACUCUCCCAGCAAACUCCAGGCCUGGACGGGGCUCCAACUGCCACCUGUUUCCUUGAAAUAGUUCGCAGCUGUGCUGGGUGACCUCAUCGCUCUGGCGCUCAUGGGGCUAAGUGGAUCUGGAAAGUCCUCUUCCCAAGUCGGAGCUCCCCCUGUGGGCGGGCUUGGGCUGCUAAGGGAGAGCCUCGGGUUGGGGAACGAGCCUGAGAGGUAGUGGGGGACUGGGCUGCA